rnacentral:rRNA from 1 species
GGAGUUAGCCGGUGCUUCUUCUGUGAGUGAUGUCCUUCCUGCCGGUUAUUGACCCGCAGGCCUUCUUCCUCACUGAAAGUGCUUUACAACCCGAAGGCCUUCUUCACACACGCGGCAUGGCUGGAUCAGGGUUGCCCCCAUUGUCCAAUAUUCCCCACUGCUGCCUCCCGUAGGAGUCUGGGCCGUGUCUCAGUCCCAGUGUGGCUGAUCAUCCUCUCAGACCAGCUACGGAUCGUCGCCUUGGUGAGCCGUUACCUCACCAACCAGCUAAUCCGACAUAGGCUCAUCCGAUAGCGCGAGGCCCGAAGGUCCCCCGCUUUCCCCCGUAGGGCGUAUGCGGUAUUAGCCUGGGUUUCCCCAGGUUAUCCCCCACUACCGGGCAGAUUCCUAUGCAUUACUCACCCGUCCGCCGCUCGCCACCAGGGAGCAAGCUCCCCGUGCUGCCGCUCGACUUGCAUGUGUAGCUCGCCGCCACGCGUCAUCUGAGCAGAAUACAACUACUGA